AUGUGGCCUAUGGUAUUUGUAGUUUUCUUUACAAACGUGCCCCAGAUGUGUUUGCGGUGUCAAGAUAUUUAGGAGUAUCAUUGACCAAGAGCUGGGAUGAAAUUACAAAAAGGAUGAAAAUACCGCAGGGGAAAGUUGAAAAAGUUCGUGAUGUUUAAAGUCAGAGAUGGAAUGAAUGUGAACACUAGAUCAGACCUGCCAGGGGGAUCUGCAGCUACGCCAAGCCCAGCAAGGCUUCACUUAGCUGGGUAACAUCUGGUGUGGCCUCCCCUGCCUCCUGGACUAAAUGCAGAGUCUCAUCUGCGGGACAGUGAGGAUCAGUUUGGCCGGACUCCUCUGAUGUAUUGUGUGCUGGCCGACAGCUUGGACUAUACAGAGGUGCUGCAUAAGGCCGGCGCAGCCUCAACAAGACUGACCACAGUCAGAGGAUCGCACUGCACAGAAGGGCAAUGUGCGCUUCAUGAAACUCUUACUAUCACACCACACUGAUUGGCGGUUAAAGGAUCUGGAAGAAAUGACCCCAUUACACCUGGCAACCCGACACUCGAGGUCCAAACCUCUGUCUCUGCUCCUCUAGCACAUGGCACCUGGUGAGGUGGACACACAGGACAGGAAUAAGGUCGUGCAAAGAUUGUACACCUUCUGUUGGAGAGGAACAAGUCUGGGAAGAUCCCGUCAGACAGUCAGGGAGCAACACCUCUGCACUGGCUGAUCGCUUCCAUGCCACACCUCACUGAUGCUGGAGUUUGUGCUGAAGCAGCCCUCACCAAGACAUAGUCGCAGUAUUCCUAACACCACUCUUUGCAAGAUAAGCCCAAUCCGAAGAGACGAAAAGCAUUCAUGUGGGCUGCAGGGAAGGGUAGUGAAGAUGUCAUCAAAAUUAUGCUGGAAUUGAAAAAGGACUUGACAUAAACAUGACUGACAAAUAUGGAGGGAUAGGUACACUCCUCUAGACAAUGCCCUGCUGGGAGAGCAUCAGGAAUUAACCCAGUUUCUAUUGGAGCAUGGAGCUCUGUCCAUCGCCGCCAUCCAGAACAUCGCUGCUUUGUCCAUUCAGGCUCUUUACAAGGGCUACAAGGUCCAACGGGUCUUCAGAGAAUGCAAGAAGCUCCUCAUGAGGCACAAACAACUAUCCGCUAGUAUAACGCAAAGUAAGACCCACACGCUCUUCCUUGAAGAGAAAGAGAUUAGAUAAAUGGUGGGUUGCAAAUAUUCUCUUACCCACAAUCCAGUGCUGACUGAGGUGGCGAGGCUGAUCUGCAGAGCUGACACUGAAUGUUUGCAUGAAUAUAAUAUCUGUUAUUUAAUUAUGUGUGUUUGCUCAGGAGCAGCUCAUCUAUCUACCUUCCUACCUUGCUGAGGAAUAUGAGCAUCAAUUUCUUGCUGUCAAUAAUGGAAAUAGAUGAGAUGAUAGAGAGAGAGAAGGAAUGAGAGAAUCCUCCCUCCUUUUCUGUUAAUUGGGCAACGUUCAGCUGCUCAAUAGCUUGACAUUUAGAGUCUGUCAGCUCUGAGGAUGCAUGAAUACACACAUACGCAGCUUAGAAUAUGUUCUCUCUUUUCCAGGGUCUGCUUAAAUACUUCAACAUACAUUCAUUUAAUUGCCGUUAAACUUGUUUGCGUAGUCCGUCAGUCUAACCUUCUGUCCUUUAUCAGUGUUAUUCUGCCCAAAAUCUAUCCACUCUUUCUUUUUUUUGUUUCUUGCUAGGUGCUCAAAACAUGGAGGGAUAUUUAUCAAGUGUCCUUCACAAAUGCUGCCCUGGUGAACUCAGAUAUUGACCUGGAAUUAUUGUACCAACCAAUAGUCAGAACAAAAAGAUGAAAGUUUAAUUAUUUAGCCGACUCUAAAAACCUCAAAUUAACCUAAUGAUGAGCCAUCUGGCAUCUCCAACUGCACCUCUGUCACACGACAAAAAGAGAGACGGGCGGAAAGAGAGAUGCACAGAGAUAAGGAUAACAGAUCAAGGAAUGAGGGGAAUAAAUAGACUGGCAGAGAGAAACAGAAAUGUAUGGGGAUGGAAAGAGAUAAAGAGAGAUGGAUGGUCAGAACAAGAAAAAAACAAGUUGACAGAGAUAGAAAAGAAGAGAGAAAGCAUCAAUAGCAAAAACCAGGAGGCUGUUGCCAUACAGAGAUCAUGGAGGAGGUACUGGUGUCUGUCUUUUUUUCUCCUUCCACUUCAGAAUUCAUUAAUGCCUGCCCAUUUUUUUUACAGCAUUGGUUUCAAGUAUUUAAAAAGCCCAUUGAGUAACAACCUCGGAGCUCAAAACAGUUAAGUUACUGUUUAAAAAAAUCACAGUGGAGAAAAUGAAUUAUUAUUUUAUUUCUGGA